rnacentral:lncRNA from 1 species
UCUUUUUUAGUAGUAGCAUAAUUUCUCUGGGCACUGUCUAGAGUUUUACUAGCAUAUUGGAUGACAUUUAAUUUCUUAUCAACUCUUUGUCCUAGAACAGCACCUACAACACAAUCACUAGCAUCACACAUAAUUUCAAAGGGUAAAUUUCAAUCAGGUGGCUGAACAAUGGGUGCAGAAAUCAAAGCUUUCUUAAGUAUUUCAAAUGCUUCUAUGCAAUCAUCAUCAAAGACAAAAGGAACAUCUUUUUGUAAGAGAUUAGUCAGAGGCCUAGAAAUUUUUGAGAAGUCUUUAAUGAACCUCCUAUAAAAACCAGCAUGACCAAGGAAACUUCUUAUACCUUUAAUGUCCUUUGGACACGACAUCUUUUCAAUAGCAUCAACUUUAGCUUUAUCAACUUCAAAACCUCUUUCAGAAAUUUUAUGCCCCAAGACAAUACCUUCAUUAACCAUAAAGUGGCACUUCUCCCAAUUCAAGACAAGAUUAGUUUCUUCACAUCUCUGCAAAACUCAAUCAAGGUUGCUUAAGCAAUCAUCAAAAGAAGUUCCAUAUACGGAGAAAUCAUCCAUGAAAACCUCAACAAUCUAUUCACAAAAUUCAGAGAAUAUAGCGUCUUUGAAAGGUAGAAGGUGCAUUACAUAGACCAGAAGGCAUACGUCUGUAAGCAAAGGUACCGAAAGGACAAGUAAAGGUGGUAUUUUCUUGAUCCUCUUUUGACACAGGUAUUUGAGAGAAACCAGAUUAACCAUCUAGAAAGCAAAAAUGUGUAUGUUUGGAUAAUCUUUCUAGCAUUUGAUCAUUGAAAGGUAAAGGGUAAUGAUACUUUUUAGUAGCUUUAUUUAGUUUGCGGAAAUCAAUUACUAUUCUAUAACCUGUAACAAUUCUUUGUGGGAUCAAUUCAUCUUUAUCAUUAGGAACAACAGUAAUACCUCCCUUCUUAGGGACACAAUGGACAUGACUUACCCACUGACUAUCAGCAACGUGAUAAAUUAUACCUGCAUCAAGAAGCUUUAGUAUUUUCUUUCUUGCCACUUUUUUCAUCUUGGGAUUUAACCGUCGUUAGUGAUCAAUGAAAGGUUUAGUGUAUUUCUCCAAUUUUAUUUUGUGCUGGCAUAGAGUGGGACUAAUGCCCUUAAGAUCAUCAAGAGUAUAUCCAAUAGCAACACGGUGCUUCUUUCGAGUUUUCAAUAAUUUCUCUUCUUCGUGCUCUGAAAGGUUAGCACUAAUAAUAACAUGUAUAUCUUCUUUUCAUCAAGAUAAGUAUAUUUAAGAGUAUCAGGCAAUGGUUUAAGCUCAAACACGGGAUCACCAUUGGGUGGAGGAGGAUCCCCUAGAAUUUCAACAGGUAAGUUGUGUUUCAAAAUAGGUCCCUGUUUAAAGAAUACUUCAUCUACCUCCCUUCUUUCAUUCAUAAACAUAUCAUUUCCAUGGUCUAGCAAAUAUUUUAAUAAAGGAUCAUUAGGAGGCACGACAAUAGAAGCAAGACCAAUAAUUUCAUAUUUACUAGGCAAUUCUUUAUCAUGGGAUUAUCUAAAAAUAGCAAAAUUAAAAUCAUGAGACAUAUCCCCUAGUCCAAUAGAAACAAUAUCCUUUUUGCAGUCUAUCUUAGCAUUAACAGUAUUCAAGAAGGGUCUACCAAAUAUAAUGGGACAAAAGUCAUCUUGUGGGGAACCAAGAACAAGAAAAUCAGCAGGAUAUUUAACUUUCCCACACAAGACUUCAACAUAUCUAACAAUCCCAACCUGUGAAAUAGUAUCUUUAUUGGCAAGCUUAAUUGUAACAUCAUUACCUUCUAACUCAGUAGGUGCAAUAGCAUGCAUAAUUUCUUCAUAUAAAGAAUGAGGUAUAGCACUCGCACUAGCACCCAUAUCACAUAAGUCAUGAUAGCAAUGAUCUCCUAUUUUAACAGAAAUAACAUGCAUGCCUACAAUAGGUCUAUGUUUAUUUUUAGUAUCAGGUCUAGCAAUUCUAGGAGCUUCAUCACAAAAGUAAAUAACAUGCCCAUCAAUUUUAUCGACCAAGAGAUCCUUAACCAUAGCAAUACUAGGUUCAACUUUAGUUUGCUCAGAGGGGGUAGGUGUUCUAGUAUUACUCUUACGAACCACAUUUGAAGCUUUAGCAUGAUCGUUUAUUCUAGUAGGGAAAGGUGGUUUCUCAAUAUAAGCGGUAGGAACAAUAGGGUCAACAUUAUAAGUGAUAGUCUUUUCUUUAACUUUAAUAGGUUCAACUACUUUUACUUCAAUGGGAGGAUGAUAUUUAAGCCACUUCUCCUUAGGGAUAUCAACAUGAGUAGCAAAUGAUUCACAAAAAGAAGCUACUAUCUCAGAGUCAAGUCCAUAUUUGGUGCUAAAUUCAUGAAAAACAUCGAUAUCCAUAAAAGAUUUAACACAAUCAAACUUAGGUGUUAUACCAGAAUCCUUACCUUCAUCGAGUUCCCAAUAUUCAGAGUUGCAUUUAACUCUUUCCAGUAAAUCCCAUUUGGAUUCAAUAGUAUUCAUCAUAAAAGAACCAGUACAAGAAGUAUCGAGCAUGGAGCAAUUAUUGAGAAAAAGUCGAGCAUAAUUUUUUUGAAUAAUAAUUUCUAUUGAGAGCUCAUGAUUGGGGCAUGAAUAUAACAUUGACAUAAGCCUCCCCCAAGCUUGAGUGAUGCUUUCUCCUUCGCGAGGCCAAAAAUUAUAUAUAUAAUUACGAUCACGAUGAACCAGAUGCAUAGGAUAAAACUUCUGAUGAAAUUCCAAUUUCAAUCGGUUGUAGUUCCAUGAUACAAUAUCAUCACAUAGCCUAAACCAUGUUAAUGCACUUCCCUUCAAAGAUAAAGGGAAUACCUUCUUCUUGAUAACAUCCUCGGGCAUACCUACAAGCUUAAAUAAUCCAUAAACUUCAUCCACAUAGAUUAGGUGCAAAUCGGGAUGUAAUGUUCCAUCUCCUGUAACAGGAUUAGCUAGCAGUCUCUCUAUCAUCCCCGAAGGAAUUUCAAAAUAAACAUUUUCAGUAGGUUCAGUAGGUUGAGGAGCAACUCUUUGCUCUACUGGUCGGGGUGAAGAUACCCCGAAUAAGCCCCUCAAAGGAUUACUUUCCAUAGUAACAAGUGACAGUAAAUUUCAGCACACUAUAUAAAUUUAUCCUUACCAAAUUCCACCUACCAAAGGCGCUUCACUCCCCGGCAACAGCGCCAGAAAAGAGUCUUGAUGACCCACAAGUAUAGGGGAUCUAUCGUAGUCAUUUCGAUAAGUAAGAGUGUCGAACCCAACAAGAGCAGCAGGAAAUGAUAAGCAAUUUUCAGUAAGGUAUUCUCUGCAAGCAUUGAAAUUAUCGGUAACAGAUAUGUUUUGUGAUAAGGUAAUUUGUAAUGGGUAACAAGUAAUAAAAGUAAAUAAGGUGCAGCAAGAUGGACCAACCCUUUUUGUAGCAAAGGACAAGCCUGGACAAACUCUUAUAUAAAGGAAAGCGCUCCCGAGGACACCUGGGAAUUAUCGUCAAGCUAGUUUUCAUCACGUUCAUAUGAUUCACGUUCGGUACUUCGAUAAUUUGAUAUGUGGGUGGACCGGUGCUUGGGUACUGUCCUUACAUGGACAAGCAUCCCACUUAUGAUUAACCCCUCUUGCAAGCAUCCACAACUACAAAAGAAGUAUUAAGGUAAACCUAACCAUAGCAUAAAACAUAUGGAUCCAAAUCAGCCCCUUACGAAGCAACACAUAAACUAGGGUUUAAGCUUCUGUCACUCUAGCAACCCAUCAUCUACUUAUUACUUCCCAAUGCCUUCCCCUAGGCCCAAACAGUAAUGAAGUGUCAUGUAGUCGACGUUCACAUGACACCACUAGAGGAAAGACAACAUACAUCUCAUCAAAAUAUCGAACGAAUACCAAAUUCACAUGACUACGUAUAGCAAGACUUCUCCCAUGUCCUCAGGAACAAACGUAACUACUCACAAAGCAUAUUCAUGUUCAUAAUCAGAGGGGUAUUAAUAUGCAUAAAGGAUCUGAACAUAUGAUCUUCCACCAAAUAAACCAACUAGCAUCAACUACAAGGAGUAAUCAACACUACUAGUAACCCACAGGUACCAAUCUGAGAUUUUGAGACUAAGAUCGGAUACAAGAGAUGAACUAGGGUUUGAGAUGAGAUGGUACUGGUGAAGAUGUUGAUGGGGAUUGACCCCCUCCCGAUGAGAGGAUCGAUGGUGAUGACGGUGGUGAUGGUUUCCCCCUCCCGAAGGGAUGUUUCUCCGGCAGAGCAGCUCCGUCGGAGCCCUAGAUUGGUUCCGCCAAGGUUCCGCCUCGUGGCAGUGGAGUUUCAUCCCGAGAGCUUGCUUAUGAUUUUUUUUCAGGGCGAAAGACUUCAUAGAGCCAAAGAUGGGCACCGGAGGCCUGCUAGGGGGGUGCACCCAGGGGGGUAGGGCGCGCCCCCACCCUCGUGGAUGGUGGGUGGCCCCCCUCUGGUGCUUCUUCGCCCAAUAUUUUAUAUAUAUAUUUCGAAACUGACUUCCCUGGAGUUUCAGGACUUUUGAGUUGUGCAGAAUAGGUCUCUAAUAUUUGCUCCUUUUCCAACCCAGAAUUCCUGCUGCCAGCAUUCUCCCUCUUCGUGCAAACCUUGUAAAAUAAGAGAGAAUAGGCAUAAGUAUUGUGACAUAAUGUGUAAUAACAACCCAUAAUGCAACAAAUAUCGAUAUAAAAUCAUGAUGCAAAAUGGAUGUAUCAGAAUGAAAAUAAAGAUGUGGUGAGACACGAAGGGAGACUUGUAGCAUAGGAGUUCACGCAGAGACCUGACAUCAUUUAUGAUGAAACCUAUUCUCCUGUUAUUGGUGGAUUAAUGUUCCAAUAUUUCAUAUCACUGGCAGAGAAUAAUGAAUUUGUAUAUCAAACUAAUGGAUGUUAUGACUGCAUAAUUGUAUGAGGCACUUGAUUCAGAUAUCAAUAUGAUAGUCCCCAAGGGAACGGAGAUUUCGAGUUUAAUCACAACAUGUGUUGCGUAAAGCUUCAAAAGUCAUUUUAUGGCUUGAAGUAGUCGGCAAUGAUGUUGUAGAACCGAUUGGGUGACUUCCUUUGUUAGAAGUAUUACUCAAACAUUGAUGAUUGCUCAUAGGUUUUCAUCAAGAAAUUUAAAGAUGGAUUUUGCCUCAUUUAUGUGUAUGUUGAUGAUCUGAAUGUUAUUGGAACCGCACAAGAAACAUACGAGACAAGCAAAUCAUCUUAAGACGGAGUGUGAGAUGAAAGAUUUGCUUGAGACCAAACUUUGCUUGAGUUUGGAACUUGAUCUUAUUCCUUCGAGAAUAUUUGUUCAUCAAUUUGCAUCUAUCCAUAAGAUUGUUGAAAAGUUCAACAUGGAUAAAUCAUAUCCACCAAAGAACUGUGGUCUAGACCCAUUUACACCUAAGGGCGAUGAUGAAAGGACAUUGGGAUUUGAGUUUCCAUAUCUUGAUGCAACCAAAGCACCAACGUAUCUAGCAAACUGCAUCAGGCCUGGCAUAUUAUUUGUAGUAAAUUCAUCUGCUAGAUAUAGUGCAUCGCCAAUGAAAUGGGAUUAGGUUGGUGUGAAGAGUAUUUUUAAGAUAUCUUCGGGGCACCAUAGAUCUUGGUUUGUUCUAUGAGAAAAAUCAAGAAAUGACCAUAGUUGGAUGUAGUGAUGUUGGGCAUGUAUCAAAUCCCCAUAACCCACAUCAUAGACUGAUUUUGUCUUCUUGAAUGGUACGACCUUCUCUUGGAAACCGAGAAGACAAACUUUAGUGGCUGCAUCCACUAGUCAUUCUGACAUCAUUGAUUUGUAUGAAGCAUCUGUUGGAAAUAUACCCUAGAGGCAAUAAUAAAAGGUUAUUAUUAUAUUUCCUUGUUCAUGAUAAUUGUCUAUUGUUCAUGCUAUAAUUGUGUUAUCCGGAAAUCGUAAUACAUGUGUGAAUACAUAGACCACAACAUGUCCCUAGUGAGCCUCUAGUUGACUAUCUCGUUGAUCAACAGAUAGUCAUGGUUUCCUGACUAUGGACAUUAGAUGUCAUUGAUAACGGGAUCACAUCAUUAGGAGAAUGAUGUGAUGGACAAGACCCAAUCUUAAGCAUAGCACAAGAUUGUGUAGUUCGUCUGCUAGAGCUUUUCUAAUAUCUAGUAUCCUUUCCUUAGACCAUGAGAUUGUGCAACUCCCGGAUACUUUAGGAAUACUUUGGGUGUGCCAAACGUCACAACGUAACUGGGUGACUAUAAAGGUGCACUACGGGUAUCUCCGAAAGUGUCUGUUGGGUUGGCAUGAAUCGAGACUGGGAUUUGUCACUCCGCAUGACGGAGAGGUAUCUCUGGGCCCACUAGGUAAGACAUCAUCGUAAUGAGCUCAAUGUGACUAAGGGUUGGUCACGGGAUGAUGUGUUGCAGAACGAGUAAAGUGACUUGCCGGUAACGAGAUUAAACGAGGUAUUGGGAUACCGACGAUCGAAUCUCGAGCAAGUAACGUACCGAUUGACAAAGGGAAUUGAAUACGGGAUUGAUUGAAUCCUCGACAUCGUGGUUCAUCCGAUGAGAUCAUCGUGGAACAUGUGGGAGCCAACAUGGGUAUCCAGAUACCGCUGUUGGUUAUUGGCCGGAGAGUUGUCUCGAUCAUGUCUGCAUGGUUCCCGAACCCGUAGGGUCUACACACUUAAGGUUUGGUGACGCUAGGGUUGUAGAGAUAUUAGUAUGCGGUAACCCAAAAAUUGUCUGGAGUCCCGGAUGAGAUCCCGGAUGUCACGAGGAGUUCCGGAAUGGUCCGGAGGUAAAUAUUUGUAUAUAGGAAGUCCAGUUUCGGCCACCGGGAAAGUUUCGGGGGUCACCCGUAUUGUACCGGGACCACCGGAAGGGUCCCGGGGUUCCACCGGGUGGGGCCACCUAUCCCAUAGGGCCCCAUGGGCUGAAGUGGGAAGGGAACCAGCCCCUGGUGGGCUGGUGCGCCCCCCUUGGGCCUCCCUUGCGCCUAGGUGUAGCACCCCAGAUGUAAUUUACCUUAUAUGUACUCCAACUCUUGCCGUUUUCGGCGCUAAGUUAUUUUAUUUCCUCGGGUUCGGUUUUUUGUCUCCGUGUGUUGUUGUCGUUUUCAUGCAUCUCACAUCAUGUCAUCAUGUGCAUUGCAUUUGCAUACGUGUUCGUCUCAUGCAUCCGAGCAUUUUCCCCGUUGUCCGUUUUGCAUUCCGGCGCUCCUAUCUCCUCCGAUGGUCCUUUCUACCUUCUUUUCGUGUGUGCGGGUUAAACAUUUCCAGAUUGGACCGAGACUUGCCAAGCGGCCUUGGUUUACUACCGGUAGACCGCCUGUCAAGUUUCGUACCAUUUGGACUUCGUUUGAUGCUCCAACGGUUAACCGAGGGACCGAGAAGGCCUCGUGAGUGUUGCAGCCCAACACCCCUCCAAUUUGGCACAAAACCCACCAAAAACCUCUCCAUAAUCUAGAGCGUUCGAUCACGAUCGCGUGGCCGAAAACCACACCUCAUUUGGACUCUCCUAGCUCCUCCUAUGUCUAUAAAUAGCACCCCGUCCGAAAUUCACGGUUCUUCUCCCCCCUAAACCCUAGAUCCAUCUUCCCCACGCCGUCAGACGCGUCCGAACCGGGCCGGACAUGUCCAACGUCCCCGCGCCGCCGCCAUGUGUCGCCCCAUGAGUCGCCAGCGUCCCGCGCCCACUUCACCGGCCCGCCGGGCCCAAGGCCGGCCCGAGCCGCCCCGCGCCCGCGCCCGAGCGCCCCGCCGCCUUCUUCCUCGGAGCCGGCCACCGCCGCCCGUGCGUCGCCUCUCCACCGGCGAAGCUCCACCAUGCCGGACCCCGCGCCGAACCUCGCCGCCGACGCCGCCACACCGCCCGCCGCCACGUUCCUCGCCGCCCUGCCGCGCCGUGGCCGGAUCCGACUCCGGCGAGCCUCCCUCCGACUCCGGCGACCACGCCCCCGCCGGCCCCUUCCAUCUCCGGCCGCCGUCCGCGCGAACUCCGGCAAGUCCUCCGGCGAGCUCGGAUCCGACCUCGGGAAGCGUGCCGAUCAAGAUCUGAGUUUAUCUCCUCGGUUGACUUUCUCCCGAAAUCCUAGAUAAAUUGCAUUUUUCAUUAUGCUAUAUCUUUGCAUCCGUAGCUCCGUUUUUGGCGUGUAGCAUAUCAAAAUGUUCGCCUCAGAGAGUACAUCAUUUCAUCUCAUUGCAUCAUUAUCAUUUAAGCUCAUCUUGAGGCCCGAAAUGCUGUUUGAAGAGAGCUAUUUGAGUUAAUUGUCAGAUCUGCUGCACCAAAUAGCUAUUUGUCAUUUUUGCCAUGAUUUUUGUGUGCAUGAUAUGGUCCUGAGGUCUACAUGAGUUUUGUUAUAUGACAUGCCAUCUUUCCAGAGGUGCUAUCCAUGUAUUUUUGUGAUAUGUGUGGUGACUAGCACAAGCAUGCAAAGUGGGGCAUUCGUUAAUGCUGAUUUCAGGGACUUAGAAUUUCUCUAAGUCCUUGAUCUGUUUUUAUCAAUAUGCCAUAUGUUCAUGUUCUUUCCUAGUGAUCCGUGCCUAUUUUGAGGAUGAUCAGUAACGAUGAUUUGUUAUUAUUGUGAUGCUCUAUCCAUCCAUGUCCUUGUUUGCAAUUAUGAAGCACCGUAGCUUGAGUUAAUCGAGCUCUACUUUUUCUAUUUCGUGAUUCCUGGCAGAUUGUCUACUUGUUAGCGAUUUUGCCGAGGAUGUUGUUGUUGAUCCGUGCAUGCUAUGUUGUUGUUCUUGCCAUGUAUAGCUUAUAUAAUAUGUAUUAUUGAUGGGUGUAUGCUUAGAUUGUCAUGCCUUGCUCUGUAGUGAGUGCAUCGAGCUCGUAAACAUGCCUACUCGUUAACAGAUUUGCAUGUUCCAGUUUUUCACUAAGUCUGUAAUCUGAUUAUGUUUUUGCCAUGUUCACAUGCUUGCAAUUGUAUUUUCUGAUCCCUUUUGGCUCAAGGUCACUAAGGGACUUUUGUUAAGCUCUUUGAGUAGCUCCAUGCCAAGCCUUGCUUUGCCAUGUUAAGUUCCUGUAGCUUAUAGUUUUCAUGCUCCAAAGUGUGCUACCUGAUCUGAAAUUCCAGACUAGUGUUAAUUUCACGAAGUCUGAAACCUGUUUAUCAAUUGCACUUUUGCCAUGCUUGUUUGAACCUGUUAAUUGAUGAAUUGGCCGUAGCUCAGUGCUCAUAUUUUGUCAAGCAUCAUGAGUGGAUCCCUGCCAUGUAUUUUGUUGUCAUGCUUGGGUGCUGUAGCAUAAUUAUCUUGAUGCAUUUAGAUGGCUACUUGCUGUUUAUCGCAGACCGGUGCCAUAUUUGUUUUGCUUGCCAUUUCCAAACCGUGCAUCCGAUUCCGGUGUUCUUUAUAUCGAUUUCAACCGAAAUCACCUCACCUUUCCAGUGGCACACUUGGAUUUCCAAGUUGAGGCCAGGUUCAAUCAUUCCUUGUCAAAUCUUGCAUAUGCAUCACAUAUCGCAUCCCGCAUAGCAUACCAUGUUUUGCAUCAUGUUGUUUGAGCUUUGCACAUGGUUGAUUGUGUUCCUUUUGCUUGUUUGUCUUGUUUGGGUAGAGACAGGAGAUGAGUUUGAUAAUGAGGAGCCCGUUGAGUUUGCUUUUGAGGAUCCAGUCAACUUUGACAACUUUGCAGGCAAGAUGAUCAUACCCUUGAAAUCACUUCUAUCUUUGCUUGCUAGAUGCUCGCUCUUUUGCUAUGCCUAUGCUACGAUGCCUACCACUUGCUUAUCAUGCCUCCCAAAUUGCCAUGUCAAAACCUCUAACCCACCAUGUCCUAGCAAACCGUUGAUUGGCUAUGUUACCGCUUUGCUCAGCCCCUCUUAUAGCAUUGCUAGUUGCAGGUGAAGAUUGGAGAUCGUUCCUUGUUGGAACAUUGUUUAUUGUUGGGAUAUCAUUAUAUUAUCUUGUUAUCUUAAUGCAUCUAUAUACUUGGUAAAGGGUGGAAGGCUCGGCCUUUUUCCUAGUGUUUUGUUCCACUCUUGCUGCCCUAGUUUCCGUCAUAUCGGUGUUAUGUUCCCGGAUUUUGCGUUCCUUACGCUGCUGGGCAAUAAUGGGAACCCCUUGACAUUUCGCCUUGAAUAAAACUCCUCCAGCAAUGCCCAACCUUGGUUUUACCAUUUGCCACCUAGCCUCUCUUUUUUCCCUUGGGUUUCCGGAGCCCAAGGGUCAUCUUAUUUAAACCCCCCGGGCUAGUGCUCCUCUGAGUGUUGGUCCAACCUGUCAGCUGCCGGUGGCCACCAGGGGCAACUCUGGGCUGGCCUACCCAUACCUUGGACAAUCUGAGUGUGCCCUGAGAAAGAGAUAUGUGCAGCUCCUAUUAGGAUUUGUCGGCACAUUCGAGCGGUGUUGCUGGUUUAGUUUUACCUUGUCGAAAUGUCUUGUAACCGGGAUUCCGAGUCUGAUCGGGUCUUCCCGCUAGAAGGAAUAUCCUUCGUUGACCGUGAGAGCUUGUCAUGGGCUAAGUUGGGACUCCCCUGCAGGGAUUUGAACUUUCGAAAGCCGUGCCCGCAGUUAUGGGCAGAUGGGAAUUUGUUAAUGUCCGGUUGUAGAUAACUUGAACCUCAACUUAAUUAAAAUGAAUCAACCGCGUGUGUAACCGUGAUGGUCUCUUCUCGGCGGAGUCUGGGGUGAACACGAUGUUGGAGUAAUGUUUGUCGUAGGUUGUCCUCUAGUUCUUCGUUCAUGCUUUGCCUUCUCUUCUCGCUCUCUUUUGCGAACAGGUUAGCCACCAUAUAUGCUAGUCGCUUGCUGCAGCUCCACAUAUUACCUUACCUUACCUAUAAGCUUAAAUAGUCUUGAUCGCGAGGGUGCGAGAUUGCUGAGUCCCCGUGGCUCACAGAUUACUUCCAAACCAGAUGCAGGGCCCGAUGACUCCGUUCCAGAUGAUGCGCUUGAGCUCAAGUGGGAGUUCGACGAAGACUCACGCCAUUACUAUGUGUCUUUCCCUGAUGAUCAGUAGUGGUGCCCAGUUGGGGUGAUCGGGACCAUGUCGCAUGUUGGGGUUGAUCUUUUACUUUGGUACCAUAGUCGGACCAUGAGUGUAUUGGAUGAUGUAAUGUUAUUUACGUAUUUGUGUGACGUGGCGAGUGUAAGCCAACUAUGUUCCUUUCCCCCUUAUUAUCUAUUUACAUGGGUUGUUGUGAAGAUUACCUUACUUGCGACAUUGCUUUCAAUGCGGUUAUGCCUCUAAAUCGUGCUUCGACACAUAGGAGAUAUAGCCGCAUCGAGGGCAUUACAAGUUGGUAUCAGAGCCUUCCCCGACCUUAGGAGCCCCAUUGCUUGAUCGAAUUAGCGGACGAGUUGAGUCUAGAAAAAUGUUUUGAGUCAUUUAGGAAUUAUAUAUCAGGGAGUUUAGGAAUUCUUUUUUACUUCCCAGCCCCUUCAUCGCUCUGGUGAGGCAUCCUAACGUAGAGUUUUGACUCUUCUCUUCUCAAAUUUCACUAAAAAAAAUUUAGGAUCACGUGGGUAUCUUGGAAUCGUUCCGAUGGUUUUGUGACGAGAACAUUGUUCUUGGUGCCUCCUGUCAUUUAGGAGUUGUGGCAGUGUCCCGGGGAGUUGAGCUCCGAGGUGUUGUCAUCACAAUUUUAUCGUUGCAGUUCUGAAAUACCUGAGUUUAGUUCGCCGACAUCGAAAAUCUCUUUUAUGCAGUUGUUGCUGAGAUAACCUCGACGCCACCCAGUACUGGGGCGGGAGUUCGGGAGUAUUGCCAUAACUUGUAUAAUGGAUGCUUUUCGAAGGUUGAGGUAGACAAUUUCCGAAGUUUUUCUCGGUUAUGUGUUGAAGGAUGGAUACAGCUGGAUGUAGGAUUUGCUAGAUUUGGGUGAGAUAUUAUGCUUCCCCUGUAUCCCCAACACCUGAUUGCGUAACCGGAAAGGUUCGGGAGUUUCAUAGGUGGGAAUUCUUGUAGCUCUAGUUAUUCUUCCACGGAUAUUUGGUUUGAGAUUGGGUGAUCCUUACCGAGUAUUCGUUCUUGCUCUGAACCUUGUUGAUUUUAUUCCUCUACCUAAAUUCUAAGUGGCUUCUCAAUUUAUGGAUAUGUGACCAUUUCAAGUGGAAUGCAUUCAUUCAUUUUGUUCAGAUGUGAAGACGAAAUGUUGCAAAUUUCAACCCGCUUGAUUCAGCUUCAAUUUUAUCUGUCAAUGUGCUAAAGGAUGUCAACCUCUUCAGGAUGGCUCCUCCAACGCGCACGACUCCGAAUCCUGAUCCGCCACCACCACCCCCUCCUUUGGAGGCAUGGCAAGCUGUGAUGGGCGCUACCAAUGCAAACACGCAGUUGAUCAUGCAAAUUCUUCAAGAGCACAAUCAAGCGAACCAAGGCAACCAAGGCAACCAGGGCAACAAUCAGAAUCGCUUUGCUACACUCAACCAGUUCCUUUCUAACCAGCCAAAGACUUUCAGCAAUUAUGUUGAGGCAACUGACGCUGAUGAUUGGCUCAUGGACUUGCGCAAGCAUUUCGAGUGCAGUAACGUCAGGCCUGAGGACUUUGUCAAGUUCGCUUCCUUCCAACUCAGAGACCAAGCUGCAGAAUGGUUUCAGCAGUACAAAGAUUCUAGAGGAGGCCGUGAGAUUACCUGGGAUGAAUUCCUUCAAGACUUCAAAGCUCAUCAUAUUCCUCAGAGCGUGGUUGAAAGCAAGCGUGAGGAAUUCCGCAACCUGAAGCAAGGCUCUACGUUUGUCUAUGACUACAACAAGUUGUUUCAGAAGCUCGCCCGCUUUGCUAAGCAGGACGUCCCUGACGAGAAGAGCAUGAUAUAUCAGUUCAGGGGUGGUCUUAGAGAAGAAAUCCAGCUAGCUCUUGUCCUCUUUGAGCCCAGGAGGUACGAUGAGUUUUACAACAUGGCAUUGAAGCAAGAAGCCGCUCAACUGAAGUGUGAUGCUUCCAAGAAGCGAGUCAGAGAUGCUACUCCUUCUUCCUCAACUCAAGUGGCUAAGCAGCAGAAGUAUUGGCUUCCUCCUCCAUUCCGUCAGCCUUUUCAACAGAAGCACAAAGGUGGGAGUGGAUCUUCCCACCCACCCAACCCUGGCUUUCAGAACAAGACUUCGUCUCAAGCUCCAAGAUCGAGUGCUCUGUAUCACCGUCCGCUUUCAGAGGUCAAGUGCAACAAGUGCCAACAGAAGGGUCACUAUGCCAACAAAUGCUUCAAUCAGAGGCGUCUCCCUCCUCCUCUUCCUGUGAGAUCGGCAAGUACAGCUGUGGUCAAGCAUAACCCCAAGCACGCCAAGGUCAAUUUGAUGAAUGCAGCUCAGGCAGAGGACUCGCCAAAUGUCAUCAUGGGUAACCUUCCUGUUAAUGAUAUUCUAGCUAAAGUUCUUUUUGACACUGGUGCAUCGCAUUGUUUCAUCUCGAGACCUUUUGCAUCUAAGCAUGAGUUGGCCUUGCAAGUUUUGCCUAGACCGUUAGCAGUUGUAUCUCCCGGUAGGCGCAUGCAUGCUAACUCCAUUGUUCCAGAUGUUACUAUCACUUUAGGUGACUACAAAUUUCUGUCUUCUCCUACGGUUCUUGGUGACUCGGAUAUUGAUCUUAUUCUCGGAAUGGAUUGGCUUUCUAAGCACAAGGCUCAGCUUGAUUGUGCAGCCAGGCAGAUUCAAUUGACUCAUUCGUCUGAGGAUGUAAUUGUCUUUGCCGCUCGUGAUGAUACCAUUCGUCUGUUUUCCCUCAAUGAGAAGGGUGAACUGGAUGCCAUCUCUCAAAUUCCAGUCGUUUGCGAAUAUCAAGACGUCUUUCCAGAAGAGCUUCCAGGAAUGCCUCCGCACCGGCCAAUUGAAUUCAUCGUCGAUCUUGAGCCUGGCACGGAACCGGUUUGCAAGCGUCCUUACAAGCUCGGACCUGAAGAGUUGAAGGAGCUGAAGAAGCAACUCGAUAUUCAAGAGCGAAUGGGUCUCAUCCGACCUAGUUCUUCUCUGUGGGGUUGUGGAGUACUUUUUGUGAAGAAGAGGGAUGGAACGGACCGACUUUGUGUUGACUACCGUCCAUUGAACAAGAAGACUAUCAAGAACACGUACCCACUUCCCAACAUCAAUGAGCUGUUCGAACAACUCAAAGGUGCCCAAGUAUUCUCCAAGCUUGAUCUCCGUAUGGGUUAUCAUCAGAUUCGAAUCUGUGAGCAAGAUAUUCCCAAGACGGCUUUCAGAACAAGCUAUGGUUCAUACGAAUACACUGUCAAAUCUUUUGGCCUCGUCAACGCUCCUCCGACUUUCUCUCGCAUGAUGAACUUCAUCUUCAACGCCUACACAAAUGGCUUCGUUUUGGUCUAUCUCGACGACAUUCUGGUCUUUUUGAAGAACAAGGAAGAUCAUGCCAAGCACUUGCGUUUGGUGCUCGAUAAGCUCAGGGAACAUCAGUUAUACGCCAAGUUCUCAAAGUGCGAGUUUUGGCUCGAUGAGGUUCUUUAUCUUGGGCAUAUCAUCUCCACCAAGGGCAUUGCGGUGAAUCCUGAGAAGGUGUCUAUAAUUCUGAAUUGGGAACCACCUCAGAACGCGAAGCAACUCCGUAGCUUCCUUGGUCUCUCAAGCUACUAUCGAAGGUUCGUUGAGAACUUUUCAAAGAUCGCGAAGCCUCUUUCAAACCUUCUCUAGAAGCACGUCAAGUACAUUUGGUCUCCGGAAUGUGACAUCGCUUUCAACUCUUUGAAAGAGAAAUUGGUCACUGCUCCAGUUCUGACUCCUCCUGAUGAAUCCAAACCGUUCGAGGUCGUCUGCGAUGCCUCUCUUCAAGGUCUUGGUGCAGUGUUGAUGCAAGAGAACAAAGUUGUGGCUUAUACCUCUCGCUAGUUGAAGCCCAACGAGAAGAACUACCCCACUCAUGACCUCGAGUUGGCGGCAGUUGUGCAUGCUCUUUUGACUUGGAGACAUCUCUUAUUGGGAAGAAAAGUGGACAUCUUCACUGACCACAAGAGUCUCAAGUACAUCUUCACUCAGCCUAAUCUCAACCUCAGGCAGACUCGUUGGGUCGAAAUGAUUCAAGAGUAUAAUCCGAGUAUCGAGUAUACUCCAGGCAAGGCCAAUGUGAUUGCUGACGCAUUGAGCAGGAAGGCUUACUGCAACAGUCUGAUUCUCAAGCCUUAUCAACCCGAGCUUUGUGAAGCUUUCCGCAAACUCAAUCUGCAAGUUGUUCCUCAAGGUUUCCUCGCCAACCUUCAAGUCUCUCCUACUUUGGAAGAUCAGAUUCGCGAGGCUCAACUUCUUGAUGCUAUGGUGAAGAAGGUGAAGAUUGGGAUUGCCAAGAGUCAACCCAAGUACAAGUGCUAUCGCCUUGGUGACAAGGAUACUCUCUUCUUCGAGGAUCGUAUUGUUGUGCCUAAAGGUGACCUUCGUAAAGUUAUCAUGAAUGAGGCUCACAAUUCACUCCUCGCCAUCCACCCUGGGAGUACGAAGAUGUAUCAGGACCUCAAGCAGGCUUAUUUGUGGACUCGAAUGAAGCGAGAGAUUGCUAAGUUCGUGAAUGAGUGUGAUGUCUUCAGAAGAGUGAAGGCAGAACCCCAAAGGCCAGCUGGUCUCCUCCAACCUCUUGCCAUUCCAGAAUGGAAGUUUGACCACAUUGAGAUGGAUUCGUGACUGGGUUUCCAAAGUCCAAGCGUGGCAAUGAUGCUAUAUUCGUUGUCAUCGACAAACUCACUAAAGUGGCUCACUUUCUGCCUAUCAAAGAGUCUAUCAUUGCAGCUCAAUUGGCGGAGCUGUAUACCUCUCGAAUUGUCUCUCUGCACGGUAUUCCACAGGUGAUCUAUUCAGACCGUGGCAGCAUCUUUACCUCCAAGUUUUGGGAUUCUUUUCAGAAGGCCAUGGGCACCAACAUCCGCUUUAGCACAACUUUCCAUCCUCAAACUAGCGGUCAAGUCGAGCGUGUCAAUCAAAUUCUUGAAGAUAUGCUUAGGGCUUGUGUUAUAUCCUUCGGUAUGAAGUGGGAAGAUUGUCUUCCAUAUGCCGAAUUCUCCUACAACAACAGUUUUCAAGCGAGUUCGGGCAAGGCCCCAUUCAAAAUUCUGUAUGGCAGGAAGUGCCGUACUCCUCUUUACUGGUCGGAAACCGGUGAACGUCAACUUCUUGGAAAUGACUUAAUCACAGAGGCAGAGGAGAUGUGCAAAGUCAUUCGAGAUAACCUCAAAGCAGCGCAAUCGCGCCAGAAGAGCUACUAUGAUAGUAAGCACCGUGAUUUGGCUUUCGAGAUCGAAGACCAUGUUUACCUCCGCGUCUCUCUAAUGAAAGGUACUCGUCGCUUCGAUAUCAAAGGGAAGCUUGCCCCUAGAUACGUGGGUCCUUUCAAAAUCAUCAGCAAGAGACGCGAUCUCGCCUAUCAACUCGAGCUUCCUUCAAACUUUGCAAAUGUGCACGACGUGUUCCAUGUCUCUCAGCUCCGCAAGUGCUUCAAGACUCCUGACUGCACCGUCAACUUCGAAGACAUUGAUCUCCAAGAAGAUCUCUCUUAUCGUGAGCACCCCGUUGCUAUUCUUGAAGAGACUAAACGCAAGACUCGCAAUAAGUCAAUCAAAUUCCUCAAAGUCAAGUGGUCACACCAUUCCGACCGUGAAGCCACCUGGGAACGCGAGGAUCACCUCUGUUCUGAGUACCCGGCGUUCUUCCAGUCCUAGAUCUCGGGACGAGAUCCUUUCGUAGUGGUGGAGUGUUGUAACACCCCGGAUGUAAUUUACCUUAUAUGUACUCCAACUCAUGACGUUUCCGGCGCUAAGUUAUUUUAUUUCCUCGGGUUCGGGUUUUUGUCUCCGUGUGUUGUUGUCGUUGUCAAGCAUCUCAUAUCAUGUCAUCAUGUGCAUUGCAUUUGCAUACGUGUUCGUCUCAUGCAUCCAAGCAUUUUCCCCGUUGUCCGUUUUGCAUUCCGGCGCUCCUAUCUCCUCCGGUGGUCCUUUCUACCUUCUUUUCGUGUGUGCGGGUUAAACAUUUCCGGAUUGGACCGAGACUUGCCAAGCGGCCUUGAUUUACUACUGGUAGACCGCCUGUCAAGUUUCGUACCAUUUGGACUUCGUUUGAUGCUCCAAUGGUUAACCGAGGGACCGAGAAGGCCUCGUGUGUGUUGCAGCCCAACACCCCUCCAAUUUGGUCCAAAACCCACCAAAACCCUCUCCAUCAUCUAGAGCGUUCGAUCACGAUCGCAUGGACAAAAACCAUACCUUAUUUGGACUCUCCUAGCUCCUCCUAUGUCUAUAAAUAGAACCCCCUCCGAAAUUCACGGUUCUUCUCCCCCCUAAACCCUAGAUCCAUCUUCCCCGCGCCGCCGGACGCAUCCGAACCGGGUCGGACAUGUCCAACGUCCCCGCGCCGCCGCCACGUGUCGCCCUGUGAGUCGCCAGUGUCCCGCGCCCACUUCGCCNNNNNNNNNNNNNNNNNNNNNNNNNNNNNNNNNNNNNNNNNNNNNNNNNNNNNNNNNNNNNNNNNNNNNNNNNNNNNNNNNNNNNNNNNNNNNNNNNNNNNNNNNNNNNNNNNNNNNNNNNNNNNNNNNNNNNNNNNNNNNNNNNNNNNNNNNNNNNNNNNNNNNNNNNNNNNNNNNNNNNNNNNNNNNNNNNNNNNNNNNNNNNNNNNNNNNNNNNNNNNNNNNNNNNNNNNNNNNNNNNNNNNNNNNNNNNNNNNNNNNNNNNNNNNNNNNNNNNNNNNNNNNNNNNNNNNNNNNNNNNNNNNNNNNNNNNNNNNNNNNNNNNNNNNNNNNNNNNNNNNNNNCCACGCCGGACCCCGCGCCGAACCUCGCCGCCGACGCCGCCACAUCGCCCGCCGCCACGUUCCUCGCCGCCCUGCCGCGCCGCGGCCGGAUCCGACUCCGAGGACCACGCCCCCGCCGGCCCCUUCCAUCUCCGGCCACCGUCCAGGCGAACUCCGCAAGUCCUCCGGCGAGCUUGGAUCCGACCUCGGGAAGCAUGCCGAUCCAGAUCUGAGUUUAUCUCCUCGGUUGACUUUCUCUCGAAACCCUAGAUAAAUUGCAUUUUUCAUCAUGCUAUAUCUUUGCAUCCGUAGCUCAGUUUUGGGCGUGUAGCAUAUCAAAGUGUUCGUCUCAGAGAGUACAUCAUUUCAUCUCAUUGCAUCAUUGUCAUUUGAGCUCAUCUUGAGGCCCAAAAUGCUGUUUGAAGAGAGCUAUUUGAGUUAAUUGUCAGAUCUGCUGCACCAAAUAGCUAUUUGUCAUUUUUGCCAUGAUUUUUGUGUGCAUGAUAUGGUCCUGAGGUCUACAUGAGUUUUGUUAUAUGACAUGCCAUCUUUCCAGAGGUGCUAUCCAUGUAUUUUUGUGAUAUGUGUGGUGACUAGCACAAGCAUGCAAAGUGGGGCAUUCGUUAAUGCUGAUUUCAGGGACUUAGAAUUUCUCUAAGUCCUUGAUCUGUUUUUAUCAAUAUGCCAUAUGUUCAUGUUCUUUCCUAGUGAUCCGUGCCUAUUUUGAGGAUGAUCAGUAACGAUGAUUUGUUAUUAUUGUGAUGCUCUAUCCAUCCAUGUCCUUGUUUGAAAUUAUGGAGCACCGUAGCUUGAGUCAAUCGAGCUCUACUUUUGCUAUUUCAAGAUUUCUGGCAGAUUGUCUACUUGUUAGCGAUUUUGCCGAGGAUGUUGUUGUUAAUCCGUGCAUGCUAUGUUGUUGUUCUUGCCAUGUCUAGCUUACAUAAUAUGUAUUCUUGAUGGGUGUAUGCUUAGAUUGUCAUGCCUUGCUCUGUAGUGAGUGCAUCGAGCUCGUAAACAUGCCUACUCGUUAACAGAUUUGCAUGCUCCAGUUUUUCACUAAGCCUGUAAUCUGAUUAUGUUUUUGCCAUGUUCACAUGCUUGCAAUUGUAUUUUCUGAUCCCUUUUGGCUCAAGGUCACUAAGGGACUUUUGUUAAGAUCUUUGAGUAGCUCGAUUCCAUGCCUUGAUUUGCCAUGUUAAGUUCCUGUAGCUUAUAGUUUUCAUGCUCCAAAAUGUGCUACCUGAUCUGAAAUUCCAGACUAGUGUUAAUUUCACGAAGUCUGAAACCUGUUUAUCAAUUGCACUUUUGCCAUGCUUGUUUGAACCUGUUAAUGGAUGAAUUGGCCGUAGCUCAGUGUUCAUCUUUUGUCAAGCAUCAUGAGUGGAUCCCUGUCAUGUAUUUUUGGUCAUGUUUGGGUGCUGUAGCAUAAUUACCUUGAUGCAUUUAGAUGGCUGCUUGCUGUUUAUCGCACACCGGUGCCAUAUUUGUUUUGCUUGCCAUUUCCAAACCGUGCAUCCGAUUCCGGUGUUCUUUAUAUCGAUUUCAACCGAAAUCACCUCACCUUUCCAGUGGCACACUUGGAUUUCCAUGUUGAGGAUAGGUUCAGUCAAUCCUUGUCAAAUCUUGCAUAUGCAUCACAUAUCGCAUCCCGCAUAGCAUACCAUGUUUUGCAUCAUGUUGUUUGAGCUUUGCAAGUGGUUGAUUGUGUUCCUUUCGCUUGUUUGUCUUUUUUGGGUAGAGUCGGGAGAUGAGUUUGCUAACAAGGAGCCCAUUGAGUUUGCUUUUGAGGAUCCAGUCAACUCUGACAACUUUGCAGGCAAGAUGAUCAUACCCUCGAAAUCACUUCUAUCUUUGCUUGCUAGAUGCUCGCUCUUUUGCUAUGCCUAUGCAACGAUGCCUACCACUUGCUUAUCAUGCCUCCCAAAUUGACAUGUCAAAACCUCUAACCCUCCAUGUCCUAGCAAACCGUUGAUUGGCUAUGUUACCACUUUGCUCAGCCCCUCUUAUAGCGUUGCUAGUUGCAGGUGAAGAUUGGAGAUCGUUCCUUGUUGGAACAUUGUUUAUUGUUGGGAUAUCAUUAUAUUAUCUUGGUAUCUUAAUGCAUCUAUAUAGUUGGUAAAGGGUGGAAGGCUCGGCCUUUUGCCUAGUGUUUUGUUCCACUCUUGCCUCCCUAGUUUCCGUCAUAUCGGUGUUAUAUUCCCGGAUUUUGCGUUCCUUACGCGGUUGGGCAAUAACGGGAACCCCUUGACAUUUUGCCUUGAAUAAAACUCCUCCAGCAAUGCCCAACCUUGGUUUUACCAUUUGCCACCUAGCCUCUUUUUUCCCUUGGGUUUCUGGAGCCCAAGGGUCAUCUUAUUUAAACCCCACCAGGCCAGUGCUCCUCUGAGUGUUGGUCCAACCUGUCAGCUGCCGGUGGCCACCAGGGGAAACUCUGGGCUGGCCUACCCGUACCUUGGACAAUCUGAGUGUGCCCUGAGAAAGAGAUAUGUGCAGCUCCUAUCGGGAUUUGUCGGCACAUUCGGGCGGUGUUGCUGGUUUAGUUUUACCUUGUCGAAAUGUCUUGUAACCGGGAUUCCGAGUCUGAUCGGGUCUUCCUGCUAGAAGGAAUAUCCUUUGUUGACCAUGAGAGCUUGUCAUGGGCUAAGUUGGGACUCCCCUACAGGGAUUUGAACUUUUGAAAGCCGUGCCCGCGGUUAUGGGCAGAUGGGAAUUUGUUAAUGUCCGGUUGUAGAUAACUUGAACCUCAACUUAAUUAAAAUGAAUCAACCGCGUGUGUAACCGUGAUGGUCUCUUCUCGGCGGAGUCCGGGGAGUGAACACGGUGUUGGAGUAAUGUUUGUCGUAGGUUGUCCUCUAGUUCUUCGUUCGUGCUUUGCCUUCUCUUCUCGCUCUGUUUUGCGAACAGGUUAGCCACCAUAUAUGCUAGUCGCUUGCUGCAGCUCCACAUAUUACCUUACCUUACCUAUAAGCUUAAAUAGUCUUGAUCGCGAGGGUGCGAGAUCGCUGAGUCCCCGUGGCUCACAUAUUACUUCCAAACCAGAUGCAGGGCCCGAUGACUCCGUUCCAGAUGAUGCACUUGAGCUCAAGUGGGAGUUUGACGAAGACUUACGCCGUUACUAUGUGUCUUUCCCUGAUGAUCAGUAGUGGUGCCCAGUUGGGGCGAUCGGGACCAUGUCGCAUGUUGGGGUUGAUCUUUUAUUUUGGUACCAUAGUCGGACCAUGAAUGUAUUGGAUGAUGUAAUGUUAUUUAUGUAUUUGUGAGACGUGGCGAGUGUAAGCCAACUAUGUUCCUUUCCCCCUUAUUAUCUAUUUACAUGGGUUGUUGUGAAGAUUACCUUACUUGCGACAUUGCUUUCAAUGCGGUUAUGCCUCUAAGUCAUGCGUCGACACGUAGGAGACAUAGCCGCAUCGAGGGCGUUACACUAGGGUUGGAAACCCUAAGGGGGUGGGGGCGCCUCCACCUGGCUUGGGGGCCAAGCCACCCCCUAGUCCGCCCCCUCCCCAUUAGAUGGGAUCUCUAGGGGCCGGCGCCCCCCCAGCCCCCUAUAUAUAGUGGAGGGGAGGGAGGGCAGCCGCACCCAAGUCCCUGGCGCCUCCCUCCCUCCCGUGACACCUUUUCCUCCCCGCUUGCGCUUGGCGAAGCCCUGCCGGGAUCCCGCUACUUCCACAACCACACCGUCGUGCUGCUGGAUCUCCAUGAACCUAUCCUUCCCUUGCUGGAUCAAGAAGGAGGAGACGUCUCUCCCAACCGUACGUGUGUUGAACGCGGAGGUGCCGUCCGUUCGGCGCUCGGUCAUCGGUGAUUUGGAUCACGACGAGUAUGACUCCAUCAACCCCGUUCUCUUGAACGCUUCUGCUUGCGAUCUACAAGGGUAUGUAGAUGCACUCCUCUCCCUCUCGUUGCUAGAUGACUCCAUAGAUUGAUCUUGGUGAUGCGUAGAAAGUUUUAAAUUUGUGCUACGAUCCCCAACAGUGGAAUCAUGAGCUAGGUCUAUGCGUAGUUUCUAUGCAUGAGUAGAACACAAGUUGUUGUGGGCAUUGAUUUUGUCAAUUUACUUGCCGUUACUAGUCUUAUCUUAAUUCGGCAGCAUCGUGGGAUGAAGCGUCCCAGACCGACCUUACACGUACGCUUACGUGAGACUGGUUCCACUGACUGACAUGCACUAGUUGCAUAAGGUGGCUAGCGGGUGUCUGUCUCUCCCACUUUAGUCCGAUCGGAUUCGAUGAAAAGGGUCCUUAUGAAGGGUAAAUAUAAAUUGGCAUAUCACGUUGUGGUUUUGGCGUAGGUAAGAAACGUUCUUGCUAGAAACCUAUAACAUGCACGUAAAACUUGCAACAACAAUUAGAGGAUGUCUAACUUGUUUUUGCAGCAUGUGCCGUGUGAUGUGAUAUGGCCAAAAGGAUGUGAUGAAUGAUAUAUGUGAUGUAUGAGAUUGAUCGUGUUCUUGUAAUAGGAAUCACGACUUGCAUGUCGAUGAGUAUGACAACCGGCAGGAGCCGUAGGACUUGUCUUAAUUUAUUUAUGACCUGUGUGUCAACAUAAACGUCAUGUAAUUACUUUACUUUAUUGCUAACCAUUAGCCAUAGUAGUAGAAGUAAUAGUUGGCGAGACAACUUCAUGAAGACAUGAUGAUGGAGAUCAUGAUGGUGGAGGUCAUGGUGUCAUGCCGAUGACAAUGAUGAUCAUGGCGCCCCGAAGAUGGAGAUCAAAAAGAGCAAAAUGAUAUUGGCCAUAUCAUGUCACUAUUUGAUUACAUGUGAUGUUUAUCAUGUUUUACAUCUUAUUUGCUUAGAACGACGGUGGCAUAAAUAAGAUGAUCCCUCGCAAUAAUUUCAAGAAAGUGUUCCCCCUAAUUGUGCACCAUUGCUAAGGUCCGUUGUUCCGAAGCACCACGUGAUGAUCGGGUGUGAUAGGUUCUAACGUUCGCAUACAACGGGUGUAAGCCAGAUUUACACACGCAAUACACUUAGGUUGACUUGACGAGCCUAGCAUGUACAGACAUGGCCUCGGAACACGGAAGACCGAAAGGUCAAACAUGAGUCGUAUAGAAGAUACGAUCAACAUGAAAAUGUUCACCGAUGAUGACUAGUCCGUCUCACGUGAUGAUCGGACACGGCCUAGUUGACUUGGAUCAUGUAUCACUUAGAUGACUAGAGGGAUGUCUAUCUGAGUGGGAGUUCGUUUAAUAAUUUCAUUAGAUGAACUUAAUUAUCAUGAACAUAGUCUAAAAAUCUUUGCAAUAUGUCAUGUAGAUCAAAUGGCCCACGCUAAUGUUGCCCUCAACUUCAACGCGUUCCUAGAGAAAACCAAGCUGAAAGACGAUGGCAUCAACUACACGGACCGGGUCCGUAACCUGAGGAUUAUCCUCAUAGCUGCCAGGAAAGCAUAUGUCCUUGAUGCACCGCUAGGUGAAGCACCUGUUUUCCUUGCAGAACAAGACAUUAUGAACGCUUGGCAGACGCGUAGUGAUGAUUACUCCCUGGUUCAGUGUGGCAUGCUUUACAGCUUAGAACCGGGGCUCCAAAAGCGUUUUGAGCAACACGGAGCAUAUGAGAUGUUCCAAGAGCUGAAAAUGGUUUUCCAAGCUCAUGCCCGGGUCGAGAGAUAUGAAGUAUCCGACAAGUUCUACAGUUGUAAGAUGGAGGAGAACAGUACUGUCAGCGAGCACAUACUCAAAAUGUCUGGGUUGCACAACCGCUUGUCUCAGCUGGGAGUUAAUCUCCUGGAUGAUGCGGUCAUUGACAGAAUCCUUUAGUCGCUCCCACCUAGCUACAAGAGCUUUGUGAUGAACUUCAAUAUGCAGGUGAUGGAAAAGACCAUUUUCGAGGUAUAUUCAAUGCUGAAAUCAGCGGAGGUGGAAAUCAAAAAGGAACAUCAAGUGUUGAUGGUGAAUAAAACCACUAUGUUCAAGAAAGGCAAGGGUAAAAAGAACUUCAAGAAGGACGGCAAGGGAGUUGCCGUGCCCGGUAAGCAAGCUGCCGGAAAGAAGCCAAAGAAUGGACCCAAGCCUGAGACUGAGUGCUUUUAUUGCAAGGGAAACGAUCACUGGAAGCGGAACUGCCCCAACUACUUAGCGGAUAAGAAGGCCGGCAAUACCAAAGGUAUAUGUGAUAUACAUGUUAUUGAUGUGUACCUAACCAGCGCUCAUAGUAGCUCCUGGGUAUUUGAUACCAGUGCAGUUGCUCAUAUUUGUAACUCAAAACAGGAACUGCGGAAUAAACGGAGACUGACAAAGGAUGAAGUGACGAUGCGCAUCGGGAAUGGUUCCAAGGUCGAUGUGAUCGCUGUCGGCACGCUACCUCUACAUUUACCUACGGGAUUAGUUUUAAACCUCAAUAAUCGUUAUUUAGUACCAGCUUUGAGCAUGAACAUUCUAUCUGGAUCUCGUUUAAUGCGAGAUGGCUACUCAUUUAAAUCUGAGAAUAAUGGUUGUUUUAUUUAUAUGAGAGACAUGUUUUAUGGUCAAGCCCCGAUGGUCAAUGGUUUAUUCUUAUUUAAUCUCGAACGUGAUGUUACACAUAUUCAUAGUGUGAAUGCCAAAAGAUGUAAGGUUGAUAAUGAUAGUCCCACAUACUUGUGGCACUGCCGCCUUGGUCACAUUGGUGUCAAACGCAUGAAGAAACUCCAUGCAGAUGGACUUUUGGAGUCUCUUGAUUAUGAAUCAUUUGACACAUGCGAACCAUGCCUCAUGGGCAAAAUGACCAAGACUCCAUUCUCCGGAACAAUGGAGCGAGCAACCAACGUAUUGGAAAUCAUACAUACUGAUGUGUGCGGUCCAAUGAGCGUUGAGGCUCGCAGUGGCUAUCAUUAUGUGCUCACCCUCACUGAUGACUUAAGUAGAUAUGGGUAUGUCUACUUAAUGAAACACAAGUCAGAGACCUUUGAAAAGUUCAAGGAAUUUCAGAGUGAGGUUGAGAAUCGACGUGACAGAAAAAUCAAGUUCUUACGAUCAGAUCAUGGGGAAGAAUAUUCGAGUCACGAAUUUGGCAUGCACUUAAGGAAAUGUGGAAUAGUUUCACAACUCACACCGCCUGGAACACCACAGCGUAAUGGUGUGUCCGAACGUCGUAAUCGCACCCUAUUGGAUAUGUUACGAUCUAUGAUGUCUCUUACCGAUCUACCGCUAUCAUUUUGGGGUUAUGCUAUAGAGACUGCCGCAUUCACUUUAAAUAGGGCUUCGUCGAAAUCCGUUCAGACGACACCGUAUGAAUUGUGGUUUGGCAAGAAACCUAAGCUGUCGUUUCUAAAAGUUUGGGGAUGCGAUGCUUAUGUCAAGAAACUUCAACCUGAAAAGCUUGAACCCAAACCGGAAAAAUACGUCUUCAUAGGAUACCCUAAAGAAACUAUUGGGUAUCUGUCGGGGAUAUACCCUGCGGUGUAAACCGGCCGGAAGUUAACCCGGCCGGACUUGGCGGUUUAUCUGAAGACCCCACUGACACUUGGCAAGUUACUGGCAACCCACCCUGACCUGGCGGUUUACAAGCAACCCACCUGGUCAUUAUGACUCAUUGGUGAUCCGGCGUGCGGGAUCGACAGAUCAAGGCCCAAAGCCCAGAAGGCCGGUUCACGUUUAACGGUGGGCCGGUUUAAGAGGAAAGGCAUGAGGAACAUUAUCUUGCAAGGAGCUAAGACCUAUACUUGUAUCCGGUUUGUAUUAGAGAUAGACUAGUCCUAAUCCUAAUAGGACUCCACAUGUAAACCGCCCCUUCAACAUAUAUAAGGAGGGGCAGGGCUCCCCAAAAGGGGACAAUAUUCACAAGUUCCACAAGUUGGACAAGUUAGGUUUAGACAAUAGCUCUCGAGAUAGAGCACUCUUGUAACCGUGAUCAUCAUCAUCAAUAUCAAUGAAGCAGGAUGUAGGCUUUUACCUCCACCGUGAGGGGCCGAACCUGGGUAAAACAUCGCGUCUCUCGUCCCGCUCAACCCCUCUCAAGCUACCACAUAGAUGCGUUGGCCUCGCGACUAAGUCCUGACACUAAGGACAUCUGUCGUGACAAUUCCACAACAGUUGGCGCCCACUGUGGGGCUGACGCACGAUGGUGAUGAGUUCUUGGAGGGAUCUCUCAGGGAUCGAGAAGUUCGCAAAUUUGCCAAGGAAGAAAAAUUGGUUUUGAAAGGAUCUACAUCGACUUUGAUCAAAAUCGGAAAUUAUGGAUUAAUGGAGUGUCUCCGGUCGAUUGGCAAGAUUAAUAGAGAAGAUCCCGAAGGUUUCGUUCGGUUCAAGUUGGAUCACCGAAAUCCAAUAGGUGCAAUCGUCAAACAUGCAUAAGGACAAACUAUCAUAGGUGGCUUCUGCUGUUGGUUAGUGCGACGAAUCGCUGCUGUCGUAAACCGCUGGCACCUGGUCGCGUCUUCAUGAGAGGGCCCACCACCAUUGACAGCCGUCGGGCGGGUGCAAUCAUUACAUUUCAGUUUAAACCGCCACGCCUCGAAGCAGGUCUGCCUUUUUUCCCCUCAAAACCGCUUUGGAGCCAUGCCUAUCCCAAAUCGCUCAGGCAAUCUGUUUCCGCCACGUACUGUAAACCGCUGCCGCCGUCAUCCGCCUGGUCCUGUGAUUGCUUCAUUGGUCUGGAUGAGCCAACAAGGCAUCCCCUAGAGUUGUCGGUCCAUCUGGCACCACCACCACGCGACCCGCAUCCACACCAAGCUGCAGCCUCCUCGGCGGCCUGGCCGACCGGCCCCCAGCGGCGGCGGCGGUAAGUGCUACAACCGUGACCCAGAUUCGCCGUGGUAAAUCGCCACAGCCUCCUCCGUCCUGUGACCACGGGAUUCGUCGGCGUGGCAGUAUGCUUCAGCUCCGAGUCAGCGACUCCCGCGGGUCACCUCCUACCCCGUCCACCACCACCUACCCGAGGGAUACCGCCAGUUUGUUCCCCUGCAUCGAAGCCGCAGCGGUCAAGCAUCAGCUCUGACAGGCCGUCUCCCUGCUGGAUCACCUCUAUCUGAAUCGACAGCGGGCCGCCAUGGAUUCGCCCUGCCGCCUGGACCUGCCCUACUGCUUUAAGCCGCCCCGCCGCUUUACUCCAACGGGCAGCCCCGCGUCGCUCGCCAUGAGCCACCAAGAUGGGCCUUGUUAGGCUGGCCGUGAGCCGCCGCGCCUCAAUGGAGAACCGUCGUCCGACUCUGAGCCGUCGAGAGUCACAUCCGGGAGCCGGCCGUGCCUCGCCAUCGCCUCGGCUGCAGGGAGCCACAUUAUCGAGCUGCCCGAAUCUAUCGUCGGGUCAAGGGCUGCAUAUCGAGUCACCGGUCUUCGCCGGCCCUGAGCCGCUUUUGCCGAGUCACCGGCAAGGUGCCCCCAGCUUCUUCCUCAAUUCUGUUGUGGCCUCUGUGUCAGGCCACCUCGCCCCCCGCGUGACCCAUCCACACCGGUUCUGCCUCCACCUCUGCAAGCUGCUACACUAAUGCGCGGAGAGCUGGUUGUGAAAAGGGAGUUUUUUCUGUUGAUAGUGGAUGAGCCAUACCAUAACCAGGUGCUAUCCAUCUAAAGUCUAUUUUAUUUAGCACAUGUUGUUUUCUAUCAAAAGAACAAAUUGCUUUGAUUUGUAUUUUUAUACACAGGACCAUUAUUCAUUACAAAUAUGGUUUAUACCAUGGAUAUGGAACACGGGCUGAUAAUGUUCCGCCCGGCGAUAGUCCGUGACGUAUUACCUGUUGAAUGGAUGUGCACAAGUCGCCGCCCUUGCGGCCCGGUCUACAUCGACUUACCGGGAUCGCGUUUGAUCGAUGUUCAAUGGACGUGCACAAAGCCGCCGCUUCUGCGGACCUGGUCUACAUCAACACACCGGGCCGCACCUGUCUGCAUGAGCUAUUUAUUGAGUAUGAGCAAGUCACUGCUUGGGUAGCCCGGAUUUUCUUUCAAUACAUUGGAGGCAAAUUAUCAUUCAGCCGCCGUCUGCACUGGAUGGCUCAAUGGGCAGGCGGACAAGUCGCCGCCACUACAAUUUUGGUUAAACUUCAAAUCGCCAGUUGGAAGGAACCAUUGGCCGAGUUGCUGACACGGCUCAUAUGGGAUCAUUUACAACCUGCCACAGUCACCUCAAUCUUCUAUGAAUUCACAUCGUGCUAUCAACGCCAAUGAUAUACAAGUUAUGCCGGUUUAUAUCACGGUCAAAUAUGGAGAGUCUCAAGCCAACUCCUUGAGUCACCUCUGAGACUCGGGGGCUACAAUGACAUGACUCGGCAAAUCUUGCCAGUUUCAGCCGGUUUAAGAACCCAGGAUGAUGGAGGGAAAGAUAACCCAGUCCUGGAGGCUACUGUUAUAUUGAUGAAAGUUUAAAGGCCUUCAGAAAAUUUCCGGUUUAGAAAGUAUAUGACGGUUACAAAAUCCCGGUUCAAUGAAGAAGAUCCGGGUCAUCAGAAAGGAUUCCGGUUUAAAAUCCGGCUCAAGGGAAGUCGGUCUGACUACAGCUCUCAAAUAUCCGGUUUACAGUCCGGUUCAAGGGAAAUCGGUUCUCCCGCAAAGCUCUGGAGCGCUCAAAUCCGGUUUAACGAUGUCCGGUUCAAAAAGGAAUUAACUUCUCGCAAACUCGAGUUUAAAGGUCGUCAGAAAAUUUUCCGGCUGAAAAUGAAGAUUCCGGUUUAAAAUCCGGUUUAAGGGAAAGAUGUCUCCCACAAAGCUUUGAAGCUCUCAAUAUCCGGUUCAAGAUCCCGGUUCAAGAAGAAUUUAUCUCUUGCAAAAAGUUAAAAAUUGCCGAAGAGGACCUGCUGCCAUGAUGCGCGGUUCAAACAUGGGUAUCCCGCCUUACUGGCCUGAUAUAUUAUUGAUCACAUGGGGGCUUCUGCUUCAUAAAGCGGGGUCUCUGUUCUUUUACAUCAUGUGUGGUUACACGGAGUUGUUCUAAAGCGGCCUCCGGUUUACCCCUUCAGUUCGCUUUUUAAAAAGCAUCAUGUUAUAUCACUUGGAGGUUUGGUCAUGUCCGAACCAAUACCAUACCUCUUGAUAGACGAGAGCCACCAGAUCACUUGGGGACUUGGUCACGUCUGAACCAGUCAUGCCUCUUGAUCGGCCUAAGGCCACAUAAUCACUUGGGGGCUUGGUCGAACCCGAACCAUUGCCAUGCCACUUGGUCGGCAUAAAUGCCACGGUUUCAUUUGGGGACCUGGCUGACUAGAACCAUAGUUACACCUAACGGGAGUUUGGUCGUGUUCGGCCAUGGUAACGCCAUUUGAUCAGCUCAAAUAACCUUUUUUGCAAACGGUUUUGUCUUUGCUUUUUCUUCGCACUUUUCUUUGCAAGAUACUUUUUUCUUUUUUAUUGCGUUUUUUUAAACCGACAAAGUUUUCAAUCAAUCAAUUGACGGAACACAGUUCACGUCAAUCCGGAGACUAUUUGCCCGGUUUGAUCCUUGUUGUUAACAUCCUCUUAUGGAGUAACAUGGUGUUUAUCACAACCCGGCACGGUUUUAUCAUAAACCGGCACAAUAUGGAAGGAGUUAUCAGUACUCGAGAUUUGGGUUAUCACCCUUACUACAAAAAGUUGGUAAAACCAACAAUGUGAUUCAAUGUCAUAGGUAUGAUAUAUUUCAUAUUUGAUUAUUCUUUAGUGCAGCCUUGGUUAUAAACCCGGGUUAUAUGUUGGGCAUUAUGACCCGUCCGGCGGUAAACUACCAGGACAUUUUAAACUUGUUGUAUGCAGAAACAGGUUUGUUAAACCGGCCUGGCUUUGGACUAUAAGUCGCCAGUAUAUAUAUAUAUAUUUGGAUUGCGCCAUUGGAAUCAUGCGCUCAUAAAUCAUUGGUUUAUAUUAUUCAAAUAGCCAAGUUUGGCUGAAUUUUCAUUAUGGUAUUGAAUGAAUAAGGUUUUCACCGGAUUAUGUUAUCUUAAAUAGCCAACAUGGCUGGAUUUUAUUAUGGUUAUCAGUAAUCAGUAUUAUGAUUAAGGUUUUCAAAGUCGCGUUAGCGCAAUGGCUAUUAUAUUAUCAAUGGAUAUGAUUUAUUGAAGGAAUAGUCCCGAGUCGCUGCAGGCUUACGACUCGGCACUUGGGGGCUACAUUAUUCACGUUGAGAUUUCAUCAAAUAUGCAAGUCUCAUGUCGCUGCAAGCAUGCACCAUGACACUUGGGGGCUAAUGCAAAAUCAUUUUUUGCUCACUUUAUUGAAGACCCGACUCAUCACAUUGUAAUGAGCCAGCCCUUGGGGGCUACCAAUUGCUCCUGUCAACAAUUCAAGGUACACAAGUUUUUAUCCAUUAUAUUGAACGGUCCACUCCUCAGUUGGUAAAGCACAAAGCUCUUAACCUUGUGGACGUGGGUUCAAGCCCCAUGAUGGGAGUUACAUCAUAUGAUGUUAUUUUCAAUGAAGUAUAUAUAAAGUCACAGCUCAAUAUUAUCUUACUGAACCGACCCUUGGGGGCUACACUGAUUGAAGUUUUUAUAAGCAAUUACAAGUCCCAGGUUGCUGCAAGCAUGACAACCCGGCACUUGAGGGCUACAUAUAUGGAGUAUUCAGUUUAUAUAAUUGAGAUGAACAAACCGGAUUUCUUCAAGGUUGAAACACUUAUUGGAGCAAGUCUUAAGUUAUCACUAUAUUCUCCUCUUAAGACUUGGGGGCUACAGGUAUUAUGCAUAUAAAGAAGGAACAUCUUCAUUUUAUCAGUUUUGAGCAAAUCAGGAAGAUCAAUUACAUGACACGGUGUCGAUAACAAUUAUGACCCGGCGCCAUCAAUAUUUAUAAACCGGCCAUUUUGGUAAUAUUAAACCGGCAAGUUUUACAUCUUCAAACCGGCUGAAUAUCAGAUAAGUAUUUUCAUACCCAUAUUUCUUAAACCGACGCUUUGGGAGCUGAGUCAAAGGAGUUAUUCUUCACAAUAUUUCUCGGUGACAAACCAAUGUCGGCAAAUUGAUUAAGAAGCUAGUCUGUUUACCCGGAUUUCCCAGAAGGAGGAAAUAACAAGGACUUAAGGAUGAUCAGUUACCGGUUUACAAUUUUUUUUUAACCCGGAGCAUAACCUGUCAAAUUUCUUCUUGUGUUUAUUUUGUAGCAUAAGUUUACCAUGAAUAAAUCCAAGAUAAACUUGGGGGCUAAUGUCGGGGAUAUACCCCGCGGUGUAAACCGGACGGAAGUUAACCCGGCCGGACUUGGCGGUUUAUCUGAAGACCCCGCUGACACUUGGUGAGUUACUGGCGACCCGCCCUGACCUGGCGGUUUACAAGUAACCCACCUGGUCAUUAUGACUCACUGGUGAUCCGGCAUGCGGGAUCGACGGAUCAAGGCCCAAAGCCCAGAAGGCCGGUUCACGUUUAACGGUGGGCCGGUUUAAGAGGAAAGGCAUGAGGAACAUUAUCUUGCAAGGAGCUAAGACCUGGACUUGUAUCUGGUUUGUAUUAGAGAUAGACUAGUCCUAAUCCUAAUAGGACUCCACAUGUAAACCGCCCCUUCAACAAUAUAAGGAGGGGCAGGGCCCAAAAGGGGACAAUAUUCACAAGUUCCACAAGUUGGACAAGUUAGGUUUGGACAAUAGCUCUCGAGAUAGAGCACUCUUGUAACCGUGAUCAUCAUCAUCAAUAUCAAUGAAGCAGGAUGUAGGCUUUUACCUCCACCGUGAGGGGCCGAACCUGGGUAAAACAUCACGUCUCUCGUCCCGCUCAACCCCUCUCAAGCUACCACAUAGAUGCGUUGGCCUCGCGACUAAGUCCUGACACUAAGGACAUCUGCCGUGACAAUUCCACGACAGUAUACCUUCUACCUUAGAUCUGAAGGCAAGACCUUUGUUGCAAAGAAUGGAUCCUUUCUAGAGAAAGAGUUUCUCUCGAAAGAAGUAAGUGGGAGGAAAGUAGAACUUGAUGAAGUAUUGCCUCUUGAACCGGAGAGUGGCGCAGCUCAAGAAAAUGUUCAUGAGGUGCCUGCACCGACUAGGGAGGAAGUUAAUGAUGAUGAUCAUGAAACUUCAGAUCAAGUUGCUACUGAACUUCGAAGGUCCACAAGGACACAUUUCGCACCAGAGUGGUACGGCAACCCUGUCCUGGAAAUCAUGUUGUUAGACAAUGGUGAACCUUCGAACUAUGAAGAAGCGAUGGCGGGCCCAGAUUCCGACAAAUGGCUGGAAGCCAUGAAAUCCGAGAUAGGAUCCAUGUAUGAAAACGAGUAUGGACUUUGACUGACUUGCCCGAUGAUCGGCGAGCCAUAGAAAAUAAAUAGAUCUUUAAGAAGAAGACAGACGCGGAUGGUAAUGUGACCAUCUAUAAGGCUCGGCUUGUCGCUAAGGGUUAUCGACAAGUUCAAGGGGUUGACUACGAUGAGACUUUCUCACCUGUACCAAAGCUGAAGUCCGUCCGAAUCAUGUUAGCAAUUGCCGCAUUCUAUGAUUAAUAUGGCAAAUGGACGUCAAAACGGCAUUCCCUAAUGGUUUCCUUAAGGAAGAAUUGUAUAUGAUGCAGCCGGAAGGUUUUGUCGAUCCUAAGAAUGCUGACAAGGUGUGCAAGCUCCAAUGCUCAAUCUAUGGACUGGUGCAAGCAUCUCAGAGUUGGAACAUUCGAUUUGAUGAGAUGAUCAAAGCGUUUGGGUUUACGCAGACUUAUGGAGAAGCCUGUGUUUACAAGAAAGUGAGUGGGAGCUCUGUAGCAUUUCUCAUAUUCUAUGUGGAUGACAUACUAUUGAUGGGAAAUGAUAUAGAAUUCUUGGAAAGCAUAAAGGCCUACUUGAACAAGUGUUUUUCAAUGAAGGACCUUGGAGAAGGUGCUUAUAUAUUAGGCAUCAAGAUCUAUAGAGAUAGAUCGAGACGCCUCAUUGGUCUUUCACAAAGUACGUACCUUGACAAGAUAUUGAAGAAGUUCAAUAUCGAUCAGUCCAAGAAGGGGUUAUUGCCUGUAUUGCAAGGUAUGAGAUUGAGCACGGCUCAAUGCCCGACCACGGCAGAAGAUAGAGAAAAGAUGAGUGUCGUCCCCUAUGCCUCGGCCAUAGGGUCUAUCAUGUAUGCCAUGAUGUGUACCAGACCUGAUGUAAACCUUGCAGUAAGUUUGGUAGGAAGGUACCAAAGUAAUUCCGGCAUGGAACACUGGACAGCGGUCAAGAAUAUCCUGAAGUACCUGAAAAGGACUAAGGAUAUGUUUCUCGUCUAUGGAGGUGACGAAGAUCUCAUCGUAAAGAGUUACGUCGAUGCUAGCUUCGACACAGAUCUGGAUGACUCUAAGUCACAAACCGGAUACGUGUAUAUUUUGAAUGGUGGGGCAGUCAGCUGGUGCAGUUGCAAGCAAAGCAUCGUGGCGGGAUCUACAUGUGAAGCGGAGUACAUGGCAGCCUCGGAGGCAGCACAAGAAGCAAUCUGGGUGAAGGAGUUCAUUACCGACCUAGGAGUUAUUCCCAAUGCGUCGGGCCUGAUGACUCUCUUCUGUGACAACACUGGAGCUAUUGCCAUUUCCAAGGAGCCCAGGUUUCACAGGAAGACCAUGCAUAUCAAGCGUCGCUUCAACUCCAUUCGUGAAAAUGUUCAAAAUGGAGACAUAGAUAUUUGUAAAGUGCAUACGGACCUGAAUGUCGCAGAUCCGUUGACUAAACCUCUUCCUCGAGCAAAACAUGAUCAACACCAGAACUCUAUGGGUGUUCGAUUCAUCACAAUGUAACUAGAUUAUUGACUCUAGUGCAAGUGGGAGACUGUUGGAAAUAUGCCCUAGAGGCAAUAAUAAAAUGGUUAUUAUUAUAUUUCCUUGUUCAUGAUAAUUGUCUAUUGUUCAUGCUAUAAUUGUGUUAUCCAGAAAUCGUAAUACAUGUGUGAAUACAUAGACCACAACAUGUCCCUAGUGAGCCUCUAGUUGACUAGCUCGUUGAUCAACAGAUAGUCAUGGUUUCCUGACUAUGGACAUUAGAUGUCAUUGAUAACAGGAUCACAUCAUUAGGAGAAUGAUGUGAUGGACAAGACCCAAUCUUAAGCAUAGCACAAGAUCGUGUAGUUCGUCUGCUAGAGCUUUUCUAAUGUCAAGUAUCCUUUCCUUAGACCAUGAGAUUGUGCAACUCCCGGAUACUGUAGGAAUACUUUGGGUGUGCCAAACGUCACAACGUAACUGGGUGACUAUAAAGGUGCACUACGGGUAUCUCCGAAAGUGUCUGUUGGGUUGGCACGAAUCGAGACUGGGAUUUGUCACUCCGCAUGAUGGAGAGGUAUCUCUGGGCCCACUCGGUAAGACAUCAUCGUAAUGAGCUCAGUGUGACUAAGGGUUGGUCACGGGAUGAUGUGUUGCGGAAUGAGUAAAGUGACUUGCUGGUAACGAGAUUAAACGAGGUAUUGGGAUACUGACGAUCGAAUCUCGGGCAAGUAACGUACCGAUUGACAAAGGAAACUGAAUACAGGAUUGAUUGAAUCCUCGUCAUCGUGGUUCAUCCGAUGAGAUCAUCGUGGAACAUGUGGGAGCCAACAUGGGUAUCCAGAUCCCGUUGUUGCUUAUUGGCCGGAGAGUUGUCUCGGUCAUGUCUGCAUGGUUCCCGAACCCGUAGGGUCUACACACUUAAGGUUCGGUGACGCUAGGGUUGUAGAGUGAGAUCUCGGACGUCACGAGGAGUUCCGGAAUGGUCCGGAGGUAAAGAUUUGUAUAUAGGAAGUCCAGUUUCGGCCACCGGGAAAGUUUUGGGGGUCACCGGUAUUGUACCAGGACCACCAAAAGGGUCCCGGGGGUCCACUGGGUGGGGCCACCUAUCCCGGAGGCCCCCAUGGGCUGAAGUGCAAGGGAACCAGCCCCUGGUGGGCUGGUGCGCCCCCCUUGGGCCUCCCUUGCGCCUAGGGUUGGAAACCCUAAGGGGGUGGGGGCGCCUCCACCUGGCUUGGGGGNNNNNNNNNNNNNNNNNNNNNNNNNNNNNNNNNNNNNNNNNNNNNNNNNNNNNNNNNNNNNNNNNNNNNNNNNNNNNNNNNNNNNNNNNNNNNNNNNNNNNNNNNNNNNNNNNNNNNNNNNNNNNNNNNNNNNNNNNNNNNNNNNNNNNNNNNNNNNNNNNNNNNNNNNNNNNNNNNNNNNNNNNNNNNNNNNNNNNNNNNNNNNNNNNNNNNNNNNNNNNNNNNNNNNNNNNNNNNNNNNNNNNNNNNNNNNNNNNNNNNNNNNNNNNNNNNNNNNNNNNNNNNNNNNNNNNNNNNNNNNNNNNNNNNNNNNNNNNNNNNNNNNNNNNNNNNNNNNNNNNNNNNCUAUAUAUAGUGGAGGGGAGGGAGGGCAGCUGCACCCAAGUCCCUGACGCCUCCCUCCCUCCCGUGACACCUCUUCCUCCCCGCUUGCGCUUGGCGAAGCCCUACCGGGAUCCCGCUACUUCCACCACCACGCCGUCAUGCUGCUGGAUCUCCAUCAACCUCUCCUUCCCUUGCUGGAUCAAGAAGGAGGAGACGUCUCUCCCAACCGUACGUGUGUUGAACGCGGAGGUGCCGUCCGUUCGGCGCUCGGUCAUCAGUGAUUUGGAUCACGACGAGUACGACUCCAUCAACCCCGUUCUCUUGAACGCUUCCGCUUGCGAUCUACAAGGGUAUGUAGAUGCACUCCUCUCCCUCUCGUUGCUAGAUGACUCCAUAGAUUGAUCUUGGUGAUGCGUAGAAAAUUUUAAAUUUGUGCUACGAUCCCCAACAGCAUCACAUAGAUGUAUAUGACUUCUGAGGAUGAUGAACUUUAUUGAAAGUUCAAGAGGGAUUGGUUCAUUGGAACUACCCACUAUUAUCUAUGAAGAUAAUGUUGUUUGUAUUACACAGAUGCACACGGGUUAUAAAGAGCAACAUUACAAUGUGUAUUGCUUUGAAAUUGUUUAGCUCCAUGAAUUGCAAAGAAAUUGGAAGCUAAAUAUCUUGCAAAUAAAGUCAUGUGAUAAUCUCGAUGAUUUGUUCACAAAGUCUUUAUCAAGUUCUUCGUUCUAGAAUUAUGUUAGUGAAGUUGGUAUGAGACGACUUUGUGAAUGCAAGAUUCUCGAGGUGUGUACUCCCAUAUGAUAGCCUAUUCAAGAUUUCUGGAUCUUAGAUAUUGUACUCUUUUCCUUUAUGAGUUUUUCAGAAUGGUUUCUCAUAGAAGGUUUUUAAAGAGGCAAUAGUAAUACAAGCAUUGUGAUAUGUUGUUUUCUUCUUAUUUUCUCACUGGAUUUUCGGAAGGAGUUUUUCAUGGCAUAUUAGGCAUAUCUCCUCAUAUUUUCCGUACAUAGUUUUUGGAGGAGACUAUUUCAAGGAUGAUCACAAUGACAAGGAAGGAUUAGGGGGGGUUAAGAUUUAAUUAAUAUUGUAAUUAAUGAGGUAAUUCUCUCUUGUAUAAUUGCAUGUGUGUUGCCAAUCCGGCAAGCGUCACGACGGUUUCCCCGCUCCGCAUCAAGUGUACACGCCCUUUCCCUCGCGCCCCUCCCGUUGUAUAUAAGGAUAGAUCAUUAAUGAAUUUGAGUGUGGUUGGAUUCAUUUACAUCUUUCUUGAAUCUCGAAUCUCUCUCGUUUUACAACAGCACCAAGCACAUAGAAGGUGUCGAGUUAACUUAGGUCAUGUUCGUAUUAUGAUUUAUUAUUAUAAUCUCAUUCCCAACCACCUCUCUACCAAUUUAUUAGUGUUUGUCUAUCUCGUUUUUGGCUAUCUUUAUGACAAACUUUUCAUCUUAAAUUCUAAAAUGAGCAUAUCAUAAUGAUUAUCGACUGCGGACCGAGUCUUAAAAUGUGCACUAUGAUAAACCUAUAAACGUCAUCAUGUCCAAUCAAUAUAGGGUUUAAAAUUGAGCUUGCUAGCCAAACUUUAUACUCCAUCCGGUUGGGUUUAGAAGUCCGGCGCGUACUUUACCAAAAACUUCGGCCAUGAAUUUGAUCAACAAAAUAUGAGUUACUUGUUAUAAAAAUUAUACCACUGAAAACUUCUCAUAUUUGCAAAUGUGUAACUCAUAUUGACAGGAUAUUUUUUUAUUUGUAAAUGUGUAACUAAUAUUUUGUUUACGAAUUAAUGGUUAAACUUUUUAUCAAAAUGCAUGAGAAACUUAUAAUCUCCAAGGGAGAGUAGCAUGGAUUGUUUCCUAGAAUUAUUUUUUAUUUGUGAGCAUUAACUGGUGGUUUACAUGCAUUUGAAUAAAUGUGUUAUAAAUGAUAUGCACAAUGCUAUCUUUUUUUUCGAGAGUACGCCAAAGGCGUAUCGUAUUUUUAUAGAAGGGAGAAACAAUGAUUACAAGAGACCGUGACUGACAACAAACGUCUACACGGGGACCUCGACUCCAAGAAAAAGAAGAAGAAAAACUACUCUCUCACAAAUCUAGCAAUCCCUCAACACCAACUCCUGCCCUUUUCCAAAGUUUGAUAUCCUAGAAGAUUUGUUGCACUAGGCUAGCGUCGGAUCUCACUUGGUCGUCCCUUUCGAAUACUCUAGCGUUCCUUUGUUUUCAUAAGUGUCAUGCAGUCAUAAUGACGAAGGAGUCGAACCCUCUUUUGACCUUGCCUCGAAAGGAACCACGCGUCCUCUCCCACCACUCGAAGCAACCGUUCCAUACUUGCCUCGCAUAGACGCAACGAGCCAAUAUGUGGUCAACUGUGUCCUCUUCCUGGCAGCAGAUGUAGCAUGCCGACGUGACUGUCAUAAUUAAGAUCUACCGUUGAUAGUGGUGUAAUCCCUACCAGAGAAGUUGAGCUACUCUUCUGAUUUAUAACUCAUGAUGCACGGCACAAUGAACAAAGUAGAGAAGGCAUGUGAAGAAGAAAACACCAUGAUCAUUCAGCACUACAUAGGGAGUGUUCACAAACCAUCGCCACUACAUCUUGAUUAGGAUUGAUCGAGAACCUGCCAUGCACAUCCAAAACAAGCGAGCCUGCAUGCAGACGCCACUACCACCUCCAGGUUCCAUGGAAACUCACCCACCUAAACCUUAGCCAACGCAACAACCUUAGCUACUGCUAAUCCGCUACUACCAUCCUCGAACACUACCUGCUACUCCUCCUCCUGCUGCAGCUGCUAUGCCGGUG